rnacentral:rRNA from 1 species
UACGGAGGAUCCAAGCGUUAUCCGGAUUUAUUGGGUUUAAAGGGUGCGUAGGCGGCCUGUUAAGUCAGGGGUGAAAGACGGUAGCUCAACUAUCGCAGUGCCCUUGAUACUGAUGGGCUUGAAUGUACUAGAGGUAGGCGGAAUGUGACAAGUAGCGGUGAAAUGCAUAGAUAUGUCACAGAACACCAAUUGCGAAGGCAGCUUACUAUGGUGUGAUUGACGCUGAGGCGA